UACGUAGGGGGCUAGCGUUGUCCGGAAUCAUUGGGCGUAAAGCGCGUGUAGGCGGCCCGGUAAGUCCGCUGUGAAAGUCCAGGGCUCAACCCUGGGAUGCCGGUGGAUACUGUCGGGCUCGAGUCCGGAAGAGGCGAGUGGAAUUCCGAGUGUAGCAGUGAAAUGUGUAGAUAUUCGGAAGAACACCGGUGGCGAAGGCGGUUACCUGGAGCUUUGCUGACGCUGAUGCGCGAAAGCGUGGGGAGCGAUCCGG
rnacentral:rRNA from 1 species